rnacentral:rRNA from 1 species
UACGAAGGGGGCUAGCGUUGCUCGGAAUCACUGGGCGUAAAGGGUGCGUAGGCGGGUUUUUAAGUCAGAGGUGAAAUCCUGGAGCUCAACUCCAGAACUGCCUUUGAUACUGAAAGUCUUGAGUAUGGGAGAGGUGAGUGGAACUGCGAGUGUAGAGGUGAAAUUCGUAGAUAUUCGCAAGAACACCAGUGGCGAAGGCGGCUUACUGGUCCGGUUCUGACGCUGAGGCGCGAAAGCGUGGGGAGCAAACAGG